GAAUUUGGGGCUGGAGGGGAGGUAGGGUCUGGCGUGCAUUGCGAGCUUGAGUUUUACCACGUUUUAAAGUGGCUACUUUAAUUCGGCGAACACACACUGUGGACCGUGCUUUAAAAUAAAAGGCUGGAUUGCUGAGCUCUGACACCUGUGAAAUCCUAUUUAGAAUAUUAUAAACUGAUGUAAGCGUUCAGCUGCUGCUCUUCCUGCCUGUUGCUGUGCUCCCCACUCGCCCUCUGAAACUAUUGUCUAUUGAAGAGUUCUCCCGUGCAGAAUGCACUGGACUGACAGUAUGGCAGUGAAAUGAAUCUCUGUGGCAUGACACUCAGGGAAAUGAUGGAUUCUGGAUCUCAGAGCCUACCAUUUCUGACCCCAUGCAUAAUUUUGUUCUUUUGAUUAGAAAGGGGCAGAGGAAAUAGAUUCCAUAUCAGAAUUUAUUGAAAAAGUGAUAGUUCCAGAAGGAAGAGGAAGAUCAAAAAGAAACGCAAAAGGAGGAGGAAAAGGCUGGGAGAAUUAAAGUGCAAGAAUUUUAAGAUGGAAUGGUGUGGAAUUGGCAGGUUGCCCACCAAAACCUAGAUGCAAUCUAUAUGAAGCUAGUGCAACAUUAUAGCUUACCUUCAACUCCCUUGUUAUGACAAUGCUCAGGGAACUCUGGCCUGUGAGGGUGACCUAGGCAAGGGGGACAAACAGGGCAGACAGACAGAGCUUAGGUAAGAAGGUCUGUUAUAAAUAAGAAAGGGGGAGGGAAAAGAGGUAAAGAGACACAGAGACAGAGCAAGGAUAGAACAGAAGAGGGAGACAGGAAAAGUACGGUCUGCCCCAGGGAACCAGCAGGAAAUAGAGAGGGAAACAGAGCAAAAGUGGGCAGGGGUCUUUCCUUUUUUUUUUUUAAUUAGAAACAAGCUUGUUUUAAUUGUCAAUCCCAGUUCCCUUUCCCAUCCCUCAUCCUCUGCCUCCCCUCACCC
ensembl:lncRNA